GCCCUUGUAGCUCAGUUGGUAGAGCGCGUCCUUGGUAAGGACGAGGUCACCGGUUCAAAUCCGGUCAAGGGCUCCA
rnacentral:tRNA from 1 species